UAAGCAUAUCAAUAAGCGGAGGAAAAGAAACCAACAGGGAUUGCCUCAGUAACGGCGAGUGAAGCGGCAACAGCUCAAAUUUGAAAUCUGGCCCUCCCCGGGGGGCCCGAGUUGUAAUUUGCAGAUUGUGCUUUUGGCGAGGCGCCUUCCGAGUUCCCUGGAACGGGACGCCACAGAGGGUGAGAGCCCCGUCUGGUCGGCCGCCGAGCCUCUGUAAAGCACCUUCGACGAGUCGAGUAGUUUGGGAAUGCUGCUCAAAAUGGGAGGUAUAUGUCUUCUAAAGCUAAAUACCGGCCAGAGACCGAUAGCGCACAAGUAGAGUGAUCGAAAGAUGAAAAGCACCUUGAAAAGGGGGUUAAACAGUACGUGAAAUUGUUGAAAGGGAAGCGCUCGCGACCAGACUUGGGCCCGGCGGAUCACCCAGCGUUCUCGCUGGGGCACUCCGCCUCGUCCCAGGCCAGCAUCGGUUCGCGCCGGGGGACAAAGGCGGCGGGAACGUGGCUCCCCCGGGAGUGUUAUAGCCCGCCGUGCAAUGCCCUGGGGCGGACCGAGGAUUCGCGCAUCUGCAUGGAUGCUGGCGUAAUGGUCACCAGCGACCCGUCUUGAAACACGGACCAAGGAGUCGUCUUCGUAUGCGAGUGUUCGGGUGUUAAACCCCUACGCGUAAUGAAAGUGAACGCAGGUGAGAGCUUCGGCGCAUCAUCGACCGAUCCUGAUGUUCUCGGAUGGAUUUGAGUAGGAGCAUACGGGGCCGGACCCGAAAGAAGGUGAACUAUGCCUGUGUAGGGUGAAGCCAGAGGAAACUCUGGUGGAGGCUCGCAGCGGUUCUGACGUGCAAAUCGAUCGUCAAACAUGGGCAUGGGGGCGAAAGACUAAUCGAACCUUCUAGUAGCUGGUUUCCGCC
rnacentral:rRNA from 1 species